GGUAAUGAACCAGUUAUAUGUGAGUGACGUUAUCUAAAGGGAGUGGCCGUAUGAGAAAGUUUGUUCUUUCGUGCGUCACGUUUUACCUCCUCAGUGAACUUUUCAUAUAAUUUUUGGGGGACAUUAUCGGCCUACCCUGGGAGAGAACAUGGAGAGGUGGCGUUAAAGGACGAUAGUAGAAUCUGAGAACAUGGAGAUUAGAGGAACUCUAUCGAUCUGUCACUCUGUCGGCCUCUGUGAGCCGAAUUAUUGCCAGUUUGAUCAUUCAUAAUGAUGUUGAACGUGUUGAAGAGACGAAUUUAUUUACUGUAUGACUUUAAUUUCUGUGGAAUUAAUAUGUCGGAGUUUCGAGAAAGGUAUCUCGUCUAUCUGUUUCAUUUGUGGGAAUUUUUCAGUCCCCCGGAUCUUGUUCUGGACAGUCCGUUUUCUGUGUCGGGUUUCAAUGAACGAUUUUAGACUUCUAUUUGAUCAUCUUAAUCUAGCUGUUCUUGCGAUAGUUAGAAUUUUGCUUUUCUUUUAGGGAAUAAAUCUAUUUUUAUAA